rnacentral:lncRNA from 1 species
GGUGAACUAAAUAAGACCUGAUUCUUUCUGCAUGCAUCCCGAAAAGAAAAAAAGAAAAUGGUUGUUAUGCCGCCGCCUAAGCAAAGUGCACGUGCACGUGAUGGUUGAUUAUGCCUGCGACUAAGUUGACCCUACUUGGAUUCAAUAUUCAUUGAUUAGUGUUGCUAAUAACACUGGAGGAUGGGAGAUUGGAUCUACCACACGACAAAAGAUCGAUCGAUGCGUGGUUAACUAAUGAGCAGGUCGGGC